rnacentral:rRNA from 1 species
AUGAGGAAAAAUUUAUUGGAAUUUAUGAUUACAACUUAUGAUAGUAGUAGAAAGCGAUUUAUCAUUCGUCCAAAUACUGACGACAUCAGUGUUCUUAAUGAAGAUGUCUAUGACAUAUUCGGGCUACGUAACGAGGGUGAUGAUGUCAUUAGCAUGAUAGCAACAGUACAACUAGGGAUGGCAACGGGUCGGUCAUAUGAUGAUGAUUUUGUGAGAAGGGUCGUACUGGUUCUUUUGGGUACAGUCUUAGCACCACAAUCCACCAAGUUUGUUCCUUAUCGUUAUUACAAAAUGGUGGAGGACGUGAACGCUAUCAAGUCAUACAAUUGGAACGAUUUCAUGUUGGGGGUGUGCAUGGAUGCUAUUAAAAAAUCAGUCGAAGAUCUUGAAAAAUUCAAGUGGCCUAUCGGGAACUUGGCUCUUCUUCAGAAACGGAAGGGAAAAAGCGAGACGACUAUGACAACAUGCACGGGCGUGGCACCGGCAAUAUUGAAAACUGCGUUAGCAAAGAGUACAGACGUGCUAAGGUUGAACACGGAUGGUGUGCUGUACAAACCCAAUAAGAGGGACAACAAUGACGAAUUUGAUAAUGUAGGUGAAAGAGUUGGGAUGGAGAAUGGCCAGUACAAGUCAUUAAAAUAUUGGCCAGAUAUUGAUUCACCUACCGAUGUAAAGAUAGAAACAUCUUUCACAGGUAUCAAUGAUACAUCCGUGCCCGUUGAUGACACGGGUGCUCCGGCGACGACACCGGGUAAAGGUGAAGCUACUGAUCAUUUCAUUAUAGACGAUAAUGGAAACUCUCCAUCUUUGGCAUCAACUGUACGUACAAAAGACUGUCCUUCUUUGUCCCGAACCCCGCAGAAUGCUGAUAUUUCUGGUGAGUCUAUGGAUGCUUUGUCACCAACUAAGUCUGAAGACACGUUCGAGAGUUACCCGGCAGAGAGCAACAUAGGUAAUGGUGAAGGCAGUCAGGAAAAUGAUGGUAAGCGCAAAAGAAAAAAGUCGAAAUAUUGCCAAUCCCCCUACGACAUUCUCGUUACCCGCAAGAAACGUGUUAAAAAAAUCAUCAAUGCAUAUUUUAAACACCUGCAACACCGUGAUUUUUCUGAUCGUUACAUAUCAACAACGUGGUUCCCCAAAUUUAUGUUGAGUAGGGCAAGGGGAAAGACCAAGUCAGUAAAUGAUUUAGACUCAGAACAUGUUACAAAGAAAACAAAAUUCAUCACAAGAGUAAUGGAUGAGUAUUUUAGACGGGACAAGGCGUAUUUUCCUAUGGACGUUAAUGAUAAUCAUUGGAUAACCAUAGUGAUGCACACCGUCAAAGAGGAGUUUCAAGUUCUUGACUCAAAUUCUAAAGGCGCAAUUAGCCAAAGAAUUCGCAAUAUGAUUACCACCCUGGCCAACUCAACUCUUGAAUCAAAAAAAAUUCCAGAUGUCUCAACGUGGCCAAUUAAUGAGUAUAAAAUGCCGAGACAAAAAGAUGGAGUGUCUUGUGGACUUUUUGUGAUGUGGUGCAUAAAAUACUGGGACGGAGAUCGCUGGACACAUGAAUUUGACCAGGAACAGAUUAAUGAGUCAAGGCCACGUAUUGUCGCGGAAAUCAUUUUUUCAGAGGUGAAUAAAUUAGAGAAGGUCAAGAUGAAGAUUGUUAAAAUCAUGGAGAAGGAAUAG